CGUCUCAUGGCGUAGUGGUAACGCGCCCCAACUAGAGAUCGGGGAGUCGUGAGUUCGAUUCUCACUAAGAAGA
rnacentral:tRNA from 1 species